rnacentral:rRNA from 62 species
GUAGCGCGGUGGUCCCACCUGACCCCAUGCCGAACUCAGAAGUGAAACGCCGUAGCGCCGAUGGUAGUGUGGGGUCUCCCCAUGCGAGAGUAGGGA